GCGCACGCCGGGGGCCGUCCCGCAUCCCAGCAUCCCCGCCCGAUCUCGGCGUUUCCGACCCCGCCCUCCCACCAGCUCAGACCGGGUUACCAGCCCGGCAGGAAGCGGCCCCUCCCGGUCCCGGAGCCGCCGCCACUUGCCUCUGCCCAGCUGUUGCCCUCCCUGGGAGCCCCAGGGAGGCCUCCAUGGCUUCACCCACCUCCACCAACCCAGCGCAUGCCCACUUUGAGAGCUUCCUGCAGGCCCAGCUGUGCCAGGACGUGCUGAGCAGCUUCCAGGAGCUAUGUGGGGCCCUGGGACUGGAGCCCGGUGGGGGGCUGCCCCAGUACCACAAGAUCAAGGACCAGCUCAACUACUGGAGUGCCAAGUCACUGUGGACCAAGCUGGACAAGCGAGCAGGCCAGCCUGUCUACCAGCAGGGCCGGGCCUGCACCAGCACCAAGUGCCUGGUGGUAGGUGCCGGACCUUGUGGGUUGCGGGUUGCUGUGGAGCUGGCACUGCUGGGUGCCCGAGUGGUGCUGGUGGAAAAACGCACCAAGUUCUCUCGCCACAACGUGCUCCACCUCUGGCCCUUCACCAUCCACGACCUGCGGGCACUUGGUGCUAAGAAGUUCUACGGGCGCUUCUGCACUGGCACCCUGGACCACAUCAGCAUCCGGCAGCUCCAGCUGCUUCUGCUGAAGGUAGUAUUGCUGCUGGGGGUGGAAAUUCACUGGGGUGUCACUUUCACUGGCCUCCAGCCCCCUCCCAGAAAGGGGAGUGGCUGGCGUGCCCAGCUCCAACCCAACCCCCCUGCCCAGCUGGCCAACUAUGAAUUUGACGUCCUUAUCUCCGCUGCAGGAGGUAAAUUCGUCCCUGAAGGCUUCAAAGUUCGAGAAAUGCGAGGCAAACUGGCCAUUGGCAUCACCGCCAACUUUGUGAACGGACGCACCGUGGAGGAGACACAGGUGCCGGAGAUCAGUGGUGUAGCCAGGAUCUACAACCAGAGCUUCUUCCAGAGCCUUCUCAAAGCCACAGGCAUUGAUCUGGAGAACAUUGUGUACUACAAGGAUGACACCCACUACUUUGUGAUGACAGCCAAAAAGCAGUGCCUGCUGCGGCUGGGGGUGCUGCGCCAGGACUGGCCAGACACCGAUCGGCUGCUGGGCAGUGCCAAUGUGGUGCCCGAGGCUCUGCAGCGCUUUGCCCGGGCAGCUGCUGACUUUGCCACCCAUGGCAAGCUCGGGAAACUAGAGUUUGCCCAGGAUGCCCACAGGCAGCCUGAUGUCUCUGCCUUUGACUUCACAAGCAUGAUGCGGGCAGAGAGUUCUGCUCGUGUGCAAGAGAAGCAUGGUGCCCGCCUGCUGCUGGGACUGGUGGGGGACUGCCUGGUGGAGCCCUUCUGGCCCCUGGGCACUGGAGUGGCGCGGGGCUUCCUGGCAGCCUUUGAUGCAGCCUGGAUGGUGAAGCGGUGGGCAGAGGGCGCUGAGCCCCUAGAGGUGUUGGCUGAGCGUGAGAGCCUGUACCAGCUUCUGUCACAGACAUCCCCAGAAAACAUGCAUCGCAAUGUGGCCCAGUAUGGGCUGGACCCAGCCACCCGCUACCCCAACCUGAACCUCCGGGCAGUGACCCCCAAUCAGGUACGAGACCUGUAUGACGUGCUAACCAAGGAGCCUGUGCAGAGGAACAACGACAAGAUAGAUGCAGGGAUGCUAACCACCGGGUCGGCAGGCGGGUCGGCAGGCACCCAGGAGGAGCUGCUACGCUGGUGCCAGGAGCAGACAGCUGGGUACCCGGGAGUCCACGUCUCCGAUUUGUCUUCCUCCUGGACUGAUGGGCUAGCUCUGUGUGCCCUGGUGCACCGGUUGCAGCCUGGCGUGCUGGAACCCUCAGAGCUGCAGGGGCUGGGGGCUCUGGAAGCAACUGCCUGGGCACUAAAGGUGGCAGAGCAUGAGCUGGGCAUCACACCGGUGGUGUCUGCACAGGCCGUGGUGGCAGGGAACGACCCACUGGGCCUCAUUGCCUACCUCAGCCACUUCCACAGUGCCUUCAAGAGCACGGCCCACAGCCCAGGCCCUGUCAGCCAGGCCUCCCCAGGGACCUCCAGUGCUGUAUUAUUCCUUGGUAAACUUCAGAGGACCCUGCAGCGAUCCCGGGCCAAGGAAAAUGCAGAGGAUGCUGGUGGCAAGAAGCUGCGCUUGGAGAUGGACGCCGAAAGCCCAAGUACUGAGGUGCCACCUGACCCAGAGCCUGGUGUACCCCUGACACCCCCAUCCCAACACCAGGAGGUGAGAGCCAGGGCCUCGUGUGCAGGCCGAGGCCUGGGGAGGGCAAGGCGGGGACAUUUCAUGGGAGGGAAAGAACUUUGGAGCUGGCCUUGGCUCUACCUGACCCCGUGUCCUGGGGGUCCAUGCAGGCUGGUGCCGGGGACCUCUGUGCACUUUGUGGGGAACACCUCUACGUCCUGGAACGCCUCUGUGUCGACGGCCAUUUCUUCCACCGGAGCUGCUUCCGCUGCCACACCUGUGAGGCCACACUAUGGCCAGGUGGCUACGAGCAGCACCCAGGAGAUGGACAUUUCUACUGCCUCCAGCACCUGCCCCAGCCAGACCACCAAGAAGAAGGCAGUGAUGGAGGCCCCGAGAGUCCGGAGCUCCCCACACCAAGUGAGAAUAGCAUGCCACCAGGCCUCUCAACUCCCACAGCCUCGCAGGAGGGGGCCGGUCCUGUUCCAGAUCCCAGCCAGCCCACCCGUCGGCGGAUCCACCUCUCCAGCCUGGAGCGCCAGCGGUUGUCCUCCCUUAACCUUACCCCUGACCCGGAAAUGGAGCCUCCACCUAAGCCCCCCCGCAGCUGCUCCGCCUUGGCCCGCCACGCCCUGGAGAGCAGCUUUGCGGGUUGGGGCCUGCCAGUCCAGAGCCCUCAAGCUCUUGUGGCCAUGGAGAAGGAGGAAGAAGAGAGUUCCUCCUCCAGUGAGGAGGAAGAAGAUGUACCUUUGGACUCAGAUGUGGAACAGGCCCUGCAGACCUUUGCCAAGACCUCAGGCACCAUGAAGGACUACCCAACAUGGCGUCAGACUCUGCUGCGCCGUGCGAAGGAGGAGGAGAUGAAGAGGUUCCGCAAGGCCCAGGUUCCCCAGAACAGCAAAAGAAACUAUGGGUAGGACAGCUGCUACAGCUUGUUGACAAGAAAAACAGCCUGGUGGCUGAGGAGGCUGAGCUGAUGAUCACGGUGCAGGAGUUGAACCUGGAGGAGAAACAGUGGCAGCUGGACCAGGAGCUACGAGGCUACAUGAACCGGGAAGAAACCCUAAAGACAGCUGCUGAUCGGCAGGCUGAGGACCAGGUCCUGAGGAAGCUGGUGGAUUUGGUCAACCAGAGAGAUGCCCUCAUCCGCUUCCAGGAGGAGCGCAGGCUCAGCGAGCUGGCCUUGGGGACAGGGGCCCAGGGCUAGAAGAGGGUGGACUGUCUGCUUUCGUUCCCACAAGGAAAACACCUCACCCCAGCACAGUGCCACCCCUGUUCAUCUGGGCUGCCUGGCAGAGAGCCUUGCUGUUUACAAUUAAAAUGUUUCUGCCACAAA